GAGGAAUUGAAUAGAGUCAAGCAAAUUAGGGUUGAACUUGAGAGGCUACGCCUACUUUGCGAGAGAAUCAUCAAGCGUGAGAAGAUCAAGAGGGACCUGGUUUUGUGUUCACAUGAUGUUCUUGCUUUUAAAAGAGACCAUGUAGCACGAUCAGUACUUGUACGCUCUCCUUUCUUCCUACCUGAAGUUAGUUCUGAAUCAGCUACGACAUCACUGAAGGGGCACGUGGAAGAUUUAAAAUCGUGCAGUGAAGCUGUGCAAAGAUCAGAUGAUGUGACUGUGGACAGCACAGUUUCCGUCAAGCACUGGAACAAGGUACCAUUGUCUUUGGACACUGAGCAAAAGACGGAUGACGAUAGUACUACAUCUCAGAAUCCAUUCCCCCGAAAAUUUGCAGACAGGGGUCAGUAUGCUGGGAAGCAAAUACCUCAGAGAUCUUCAACUACUACAUCACGCAAUCUUGUAGAUGUUGGAGGAUUGA
rnacentral:misc_RNA from 1 species